CUGUUUUCCAUAUGUGAGACCUGACAGAUGCAUUAUGGGAUAUUUUUAAUGCCUUGUGUAGGGUGCUCGAACAAGGGCAUUAGACAACAGCAGGCGAGGAGGAUACAAAUUAUGGAUGAGAAUUUUACAAAUUAAUGUGGAUAUUUAAAAAAGAGCUUUAGAAUUUCAUCAAAUAAUGCAAAGAUUGUGUUCUUCAUGCAAACCGAAGAUACAAAUUCGUGUCGUUGAGUAAACAAAAAAAAAAAAAAAACCAAGGUAAUAAAAUAAAAUUCAAUUAUUAAUAGUUUUUACAUCCAAGAUAUUAAUAAAGUUGUAUGGAGGUUCUGAAACUAGAAAUACAGGAUUGUUUUGUUAAGUCUUGGCGUGGAUACAUUUAAACACACGCAAGCCAAUUACAAGAGUGUACGUGUACAUGAUCAAAUAAUGGAUUUGUGAACUUCAUCGAGUGCUAGGCGGGGCUGAGUGGUGAUUAUAAACUUGGUUCUAGUGUGGGUUGAAGUCCUGAUAAAGUCUUGGAUAAGUUCCUGCAAUUCUGGAAUAAAGUCUUUAAAGUCUGGAGUAAAAUCCUGAAAUUCUGGGAUAGCGCCCUGGGAUCUGGAAAAGUGUCCUGAAAUCUGGAAUAAAGUCCUGAAAGUCUGGAAUAAAAUCCUGAGAUUCUGAGAUAGAGUCCUGGGAUCUGGAAUAGUGUCCUGAAAAUCUGGAAUAGUGUCCUGAAAAUCUGGAAUAAAGUCUUGAAAGUCUGGAGUAGAGUCUGAAUGUGUGGGUAAAGACCAAAGAGUGCGAUAUUGUCCUGCGAAUUUCGCUUUUGUCCUACAAGUCCUAACAGGUUUUCUGAAAGCCUAGGCUGCUGUCCUUCUAGUCUGGGCUUCAUGACGUGGUUGGUCCUACAAGAAUCUCGCCCGUUGGAUAGUUUAUGCUUGUUGGCACAUCCUUGCUGUUUCUCUAGACGCUAUGAAACACAGGGCACUGAAGAUAUGUCUCGUCAUCCUAGCUGUAGUGGGUACCGUCUCAGCACAAUUCUCAGUAAGCGACACCUCACCUGUCUGUCCAGAAAUACGGCCUGGGGGAAGAUGACCUUCCGGG